UACGUAGGGUGCGAGCGUUGUCCGGAAUUAUUGGGCGUAAAGAGCUCGUAGGCGGUCCGUUAAGUCGGAAGUGAAAUCUCAAGGCUCAACCUUGAAAUCGCUCUCGAUACUGGCGGACUUGAGGCAGGUAGGGGAGAUCGGAAUUCCUGGUGUAGCGGUGAAAUGCGCAGAUAUCAGGAGGAACACCGGUGGCGAAGGCGGCAUCCUGGACCGGUAUUGACGCUGAGGCGCGAAAGCUAGGGGAGCAAACGGG
rnacentral:rRNA from 1 species